CUUGAUCAAAGUGUCCUUGAGCAGAACGGUGGUAUGUGUCUCAUGACUGUACAUGAUCUGAGUGAGACUUCUGCCGUUCAGAAGAGUUUGAGAAUCAUUGAACAUUCAUGGUUGCCAUGAGGUUUGGGAAAGGAUUUUCCGCUGUCUGUUAUGAAAACUAUUUUUCAAACGAAUGUAAUUUUGUAAGGCUGUUGUUUGGACAAGGUAACAUCUUGGGGUCAUUGAGUUCUUUCUGAGGCACAUGCCAUCAUUCCACACACCCCAUUCUGCUUUGACAUUAACCACCAGAAAUUAUUAUAUUGUUGUGUUUAUUAAUCAUUGUGGUUGACUACUAAUUGGGUAAAUUUGUUCUGGAGUAAAGCACCUGCAAACUUCUAGUUGUCCUCAGUGUAAUCAUGCAAGUUGAGCUCAGUCCCCAGUGAACACAUUGUGACAACCGGUGUGGAAGAUUGUCUAACUGUUGUCUACGAUGGAUACUCUUUAGUGACUCCAUACUCUGAGGGUGUGGGUUGGGGUUGAUUCUAGGCAUUUCUUUAAGGAUGGAACAAUUGACUUUCAGAAGGAAACAUGAGAUUAGUAAAUACCAUGUUGUCUAUAUUAAGUG
rnacentral:lncRNA from 1 species